rnacentral:rRNA from 1 species
UACAGAGGUCUCAAGCGUUGUUCGGAUUCAUUGGGCGUAAAGGGCGCGUAGGCGGCGGGGUCAGUCGGGUGUGAAAUCUUGGGGCUUAACCCCGAAACGGCACUCGAAACUGCCCGGCUGGAGGGCCGGAGAGGAGAUCGGAAUUCACGGUGUAGCAGUGAAAUGCGUAGAUAUCGUAAGGAAGACCAGUGGCGAAGGCGGGUCUCUGGACAGUUCCUGACACUGAGGCACGAAGGCCAGGGGAGCAAACGGG